CUACGGGGUGCAGCAGGCGCGAAAACUUUACAAUGCUGGCAACAGCGAUAAGGGAACCUCGAGUGCCAGGUUACAAAUCUGACUGUCGAGAUGCCUAAAAAGCAUUUCAUAGCAAGGGCCGGGCAAGACCGGUGCCAGCCGCCGCGGUAACACCGGCGGCUCGAGUGGUAACCGUUAUUAUUGGGUCUAAAGGGUCUGUAGCCGGCCGGAUAAGUCUCUUGAGAAAUCUGGCAGCUUAACUGUCAGGCUUUCAGGAGAUACUGUCUGGCUCGAGGCCGGGAGAGGUGAGAGGUACUUCAGGGGUAGGGGUGAAAUCUUGUAAUCCUUGAAGGACCACCAGUGGCGAAGGCGUCUCACCAGAACGGACCUGACGGCAAGGGACGAAAGCUAGGGGCACGAACCGGAUUAGAUACCCGGGUAGUCCUAGCCGUAAACGAUACUCGCUAGGUGUCGGCCACGGUGCGACCGUUGUCGGUGCCGUAGGGAAGCCGUGAAGCGAGC
rnacentral:rRNA from 1 species